rnacentral:lncRNA from 1 species
AUGCCGGAGCUUUCCCGUGCUCCUCGGGAGUUGACCAGCCCUGUGUGCCUCCUGCUGCAAGGACUGAUGGUGUUGAACUUGUUCUCUCAGAUCUUUGCGUCGUGGCCAGUUGUUAAUUACUGGAUGCCGGUCUCGAGGGAUCGCCCCGCUUCUGUCAUACUGGAAAACAUCCUCAGGACUGUGGGCCAGUGAAGCUCAAAGAGCCAGCAAACACAGCCUGGAGUGGAUCCACACAACACUGGCCGCUUCUUACAGACCUGCUCUAACCCCAGGAUCUAAUUACUUACUCGCAUCUCUCCUAUCAUCUCCCGCUUCCUCCAGCAGGAUCCCCAUGGGUCUCUUGAGCUCAGACCCACACGUAACACACUGACAUGGGGGAAGAGCUCAACCUCCGGCCCGACAACUGCUAGAAUCCCUAUAAAAGCAUCAUAUAGAUCACACAAACUCCUACAGACUGAUAUUUUGUCACUGACAUGGGGGAAGAGCUCAACCUCCGGCCCGACAACUGCUAGAAUCCCUAUAAAAGCAUCAUAUAGAUCACACAAACUCCUACAGACUGAUAUUUUGUCUUGAUAAUGUUAAAUAAAAUCUGAGAUGUAAACUAAAUCAGUUAAUAAACGACUUUAGGCUGUUUACUCCAAACACGUUCUCCAAAAAAGUUUGUUUGCUACAGUUUGAAUAAAAAGUA